rnacentral:rRNA from 1 species
AUGAACGCUGGCGGCGUGCUUAACACAUGCAAGUCGAACGAAGCACCUCUAAUCGAAGAUUGAGAAGCUUGCUUUGAUGAUUCACCUGAGGUGACUGAGUGGCGGACGGGUGAGUAACGCGUGGGUAACCUACCCUAUACAGGGGGAUAACAGUUGGAAACGACUGCUAAUACCGCAUAAGCGCACAGGACCGCAUGGUCUAGUGUGAAAAAACUCCGGUGGUAUAGGAUGGACCCGCGUCUGAUUAGCUAGUUGGUGAGGUAACGGCUCACCAAGGCGACGAUCAGUAGCCGACCUGAGAGGGUGACCGGCCACAUUGGGACUGAGACACGGCCCAAACUCCUACGGGAGGCAGCAGUGGGGAAUAUUGCACAAUGGGCGAAAGCCUGAUGCCAGCGACGCCGCGUGAACGAAGAAGUAUUUCGGUAUGUAAAGUUCUAUCAGCAGGGAAGAAAAUGACGGUACCUGACUAAGAAGCUCCGGCUAAAUACGUGCCAGCAGCUGC